GGUUGGCUGUGCGAUUGGUACAUUGUGCUUGGACACUUGGUGCAUUUAGGCAAGUGAUUUGGCUUUAAGGGAGUUAAGUUUCUUAAAAUUGUUUUUAAGGGUGUGGGUCAACAUUUAUGUUAUUUUAUUUAUCUUUUAUUUUUGUGAUUUUUUUUACUUCUCAUGUUUUUAGCAUCUGGGCAUUUUCUACAUGUGCAUAAAAUAUUUUUUUGGCCCUCAUGCAUAUGGUGUCUAGGAACUUUCACUGAAUUUUUUUCAUUAUUAUUUGGAAGUCUAAGUCCCAUUGGGACUCAAAGUCUUACUGUGGUAAAUGGCAUAGUCACUUAAGAGGGACCACCAGCCACUUUAAAACACUCAUGCCCGAUACUUCCUAAGACCCAUAUCCCCCACAACUUGACAUUACCCCCACAUUUCACACCCCUCACAUCUCUGUGUGCCCUAGCUAAACACUAUAUUGCAUGUCUCUUGUGCUCUAGAGUUGGUUGUGCGUUCAAAAUUGAGAAGACCUCGUCUUCUACUUGAGUCUUAGUCACGAUAAGUGCUCUAUUGUAUUAUAUUUUCUCUUCCUUUCUAGUUCUAAGCCACGACGUACACCCAUUUGGGAUUGUUAGCUUUUGGUGUGAUUUGAAGCUUGGAGUUUUGUGUCUGGGCUGUGUUUCAUGCCUAUUGUAAUUUGGUCAUACAUUCUUAAUGUAUUUAGGAAGGAUUUUUGUGGGUUAGUGCAUUAUAUAAUUCGGUUUUCAUGGAUUGCGCACCAGAUGUUUGAUCUUUUGUCUCAACUAAAAGUUUUAGGCAUGCUGUCAAUUUCUUUACAUGCAUUCAUGCUCAUUCAUUAUUUUACUCCCAUUGCAUUGUGGAAUUGAGGUUCUUCGUGGUUGUGGGAAGGUCUUCUCAAGAGUUUUACUCUCAUAUUCCCACACGGUAGUCAACACGAGUCUAAUUCUAAUGACAAGAAGGUUUGAGCCUUGGCAGAUUUGUGAAAAAAACGGGUAGUCAUAAAUGAAUUUGCUCGGGAGGAGUUGAAUGAAUUUUCUGUUGAGGGGGAGUUGAAUAUCUUUCGGUUGUUGUUCUGUUUAAGAUAAUUUUAUAUUGAGGGGCAAACUAAAUUUUUUAGUUCAUUUUUUAGCUAGUUUGCAAAAAUUACUUUAGAAACUUUUUAAUCUGUAGUGAUUUCAUUUAAGUUUAUUUUUGUUGGACAUUAUUUUGAUGGUCAACUAUAACAUACUUAAAUCUAAAUAUUUAAACUUGUGGAUGUUGAUGACACUAAUCUUAGUCACUGCUCUAUGUUAAUAUUUUUUUAUUUUUUAUUGUUUACUUGAGAUUUCUACUCGGUUUCUUGGUUUGCUGGUUGUGUUUUGACAGGUGUAUGUUACAUUCAUCAAAUGUUGAUUUUGUCACCAAUCCGCCAAAGGGAGAGAUUGGAAAUGCAAAGUGCAAGAGUUUGGCUAGAACUAGGUGACUAAGAUGAUAAACGUCAUCUUAUGUUGAAAUUUUUAUUUUGGAUGAAUGUAAAACAAUUUGAGUUUAUCUAAAAUUUGUUUUGAAUUUAUCUAGAGGUUGUUAGGAAGUAUUUUAGAUAAGUCAAAACAGUAACAUUCGAGUUCCAAGAUAUUGAUCUUAUCCAGAGAAGAAUUCGAUUGUGAAACUGCCACUAUUGAGAAGAUAAGUUUCAAGAGUCAGCAAAACUAUCAGUAGAGUUUGUUUGUGACUUGGAAACUAUUUCAAAAAGAUAUUUAAGUUGCCCUAUGAAUUAGGAUCUGUAGAGAUUUAGUUAUGGAGAUUUUUUAGAGCACUUUACAGUAUUUAUUUUGGUGAGAAAAUUCCCUUGAGAAUUUUCCUGUUGUUUCUCUCAUAAAGUGUGAUUGUGCUCCAUGUUGGACAUAGAGUGAUCUUGUUUCAGCUAUUGGAUCAGUUCCAGAAGAAAAGUCAAUACGUGAAUAUCGUCUGAGGUUCUGGCUACUACUGUUGUAGAGACAAACGAAUGUUUUGUCGUGUCAAAUAAGAGAGUCAAUUGACAAAUAUUUUGUAAUUGAAACUUACUUGUAAUUGAUUUUCAAAUAAUAAAAUUGAUUUUUCUGAA